UUUCCGUAGGUGAACCUGCGGAAGGAUCAUUAUUGUAUAACCGAGGUGCGAGGGCUGUCGCUGACCCGAAAGGUCGUGCACGCCCGAGUGCCCUCACACACAUCCACCUCACCCCUAUGUGCACCACCGCGUGGGUCCCCCUUUGGCUUGUUCGGAGGGGGGCUUACGCUUUCACACAAACUUUGUAUGCAGUGUAGAAUGUAUUUUUUGUUUUUGCGAUCACGCAAUCAAUACAACUUUCAACAACGGAUCUCUUGGCUCUC
rnacentral:misc_RNA from 1 species